rnacentral:tRNA from 1 species
GUUCUUGGGGUGUAGCUAGCACAUCAGGUUUUCAUCCUGAAAGUAUAGAAAAUAAUUUAUCUAGAACA